AUUGAACGCUGGCGGAAUGCUUUACACAUGCAAGUCGAACGGUAGAGGGGGCAACCCCUUGAGAGUGGCGAACGGGUGAGUAAUAUAUCGGAACGUGCCCAGUCGUGGGGAUAACGUAGCGAAAGUUACGCUAAUACCGCAUACGAUCUAAGGAUGAAAGCGGGGGAUCGCAAGACCUCGCGCGAUUGGAGCGGCCGAUAUCAGAUUAGGUAGUUGGUGGGGUAAAGGCUCACCAAGCCAACGAUCUGUAGCUGGUCUGAGAGGACGACCAGCCACACUGGAACUGAGACACGGUCCAGACUCCUACGGGAGGCAGCAGUGGGGAAUUUUGGACAAUGGACGCAAGUCUGAUCCAGCCAUUCCGCGUGCAGGAUGAAGGCCCUCGGGUUGUAAACUGCUUUUGUACGGACGAAAAGGUUUCUCUUAAUACGAGGAGCUCAUGACGGUACCGUAAGAAUAAGCACCGGCUAACUACGUGCCAGCAGCCGCGGUAAA
rnacentral:rRNA from 1 species